rnacentral:rRNA from 1 species
CUUAGUGGCGGACGGGUGAGUAACGCGUGGGGAACCUGCCUUGCACCGGGGGAUAACACUUAGAAAUAGGUGCUAAUACCGCAUAAGCGCACAGAGCCGCAUGGCUCAGUGUGAAAAACUCCGGUGGUGCAAGAUGGACCCGCGUCUGAUUAGCUGGUUGGCGGGGUAACGGCCCACCAAGGCGACGAUCAGUAGCCGGCCUGAGAGGGUGAACGGCCACAUUGGGACUGAGACACGGCCCAAACUCCUACGGAAGGCAGCAG